ACGCUCGACACCUACUGGAGGCAGCAGUGGGGAAUAUUGCACAAUGGGGGAAACCCUGAUGCAGCGACGCCGCGUGGAGGAAGAAGGUCUUCGGAUUGUAAACUCCUGUUGUUGGGGAAAAAGAGGAUGGUACCCAACAAGGAAGUGACGGCUAACUACGUGCCAGCACGCCGGUAGGUAAUCUGAGGCGGGCUGGACAAGGC
rnacentral:rRNA from 1 species